rnacentral:rRNA from 1 species
UACGUAGGGUGCAAGCGUUAAUCGGAUUUACUGGGCGUAAAGCGUGCGUAGGCGGUUCAUUAAGUCGGUUGUGAAAUCCCUGGGCUUAACCUGGGAACUGCAGUCGAUACUGGUGAACUAGAGUGCGGUAGAGGGUGGCGGAACUCCGGGUGUAGCGGUGAAAUGCGUAGAUAUCCGGAAGAACACCGAUGGCGAAGGCAACCACCUGGGCCUGCACUGACGCUGAGGUACGAAAGCGUGGGGAGCAAACAGG